GGUCAAUGAUGUCAUGUAAAAGGUCUGAACCUCAGUGCCCCUAUCUGUCCUAGCUCCCAGCAGCCCUUGCUCCCAGCUCCCAUCAUGCUCAAGUGAUGCAUUGAUGGUCCCAGCAGCUGCUGACAAACAGGAUGUGACAUCACAAUAUGAGUCUGCAAAGAGAGACAGUCGACUUAAUGAUGAUGUCAUCCAAUAUAGCCAAUCAUCAUGGAGCAUCAGGCCAGUAGGGCGGGGCCUGAGCACUGAUCUCACUCUGCUCCUGAGACC